rnacentral:rRNA from 1 species
AUAGUUUUUUCUGCUCGAUGUAAAUGGCCGCAGUACUUUGACUGUGCAAAGGUAGCAUAAUAAUUUGGCUUAUAAUUGAAGUCUAGAAUCAACGAAUCAUGGAUAAGACUAUAUAAAUUAAUAAUUUAAGUUACUAAAGAAGUGAAAAUUCUUCUUUAAAUAUUAGACGAGAAGACCCUAGAAAUUAUUAUUUUUGUUGGGGCAACAAUCUAUUAUUAUAAAAUAAAUUUAUAAAAUAAUUUAAUUACUCUAGGGAUAACAGCAUAAUUUAUAAUGAUUGUGACCUCGAUGUUGGAUUAAGUACAGUUAAGA